UGGGGGAUAUUGCACAAUGGGCGAAAGCCUGAUGCAGCGACGCCGCGUGGGGGAUGAAGGCCUUCGGGUUGUAAACUUCUUUUGCUCUGAACAAGGCAUGCUAAUGGGUGUGUUGAGUGUAGGGGUUGAUUAGCGCCGGCUAACUACGUGCCAGCAGCCGCGGUAAUACGUAUGGCGCGAGCGUUGUCCGGAAUUAUUGGGCGUAAAGGGCUUGUAGGUGGCUGGUUGCGUCUGUCGUGAAAGCUCAUGGCUUAACUGUGGGUUUGCGGUGGGUACGGGCUGGCUUGAGUGCAGUAGGGGAGGGUGGAAUUCCUGGUGUAGCGGUGGAAUGCGCAGAUAUCAGGAGGAAGACCGGUGGCGAAGGCGGGUCUCUGGGCUGUUACUGACACUGAGGAGCGAAAGCAUGGGGAGCGAACAGG
rnacentral:rRNA from 1 species